rnacentral:rRNA from 1 species
GAGUUUGAUUCUGGCUCAGAUUGAACGCUGGCGGCAUGCUUUACACAUGCAAGUCGGACGGCAGCACAGAGAAGCUUGCUUCUUGGGUGGCGAGUGGCGAACGGGUGAGUAACGCAUCGGAACGUACCGAGUAGUGGGGGAUAACUGUCCGAAAGGAUGGCUAAUACCGCAUACGCUUUGAGAAGGAAAGCGGGGGAUCUUCGGACCUCGCGCUAUUCGAGCGGCCGAUGUCUGAUUAGCUAGUUGGUGGGGUAAAGGCCUACCAAGGCGACGAUCAGUAGCGGGUCUGAGAGGAUGAUCCGCCACACUGGGACUGAGACACGGCCCAGACUCCUACGGGAGGCAGCAGUGGGGAAUUUUGGACAAUGGGCGCAAGCCUGAUCCAGCCAUGCCGCGUGUCUGAAGAAGGCCUUCGGGUUGUAAAGGACUUUUGUCAGGGAAGAAAAGCUUUGGGUUAAUACCCUGGAGUGA